rnacentral:rRNA from 1 species
UGCAGAAUCCCGUGAACCAUCGAGUCUUUGAACGCAAGUUGCGCCCCAAGCCUUCUGGCCGAGGGCACGUCUGCCUGGGUGUCACUA